GAGAGCUGGAUGCUCGGAAACGGGCACGUCCAGUUCGGUGGAGGGGGAAAGCCCUAU
rfam:Cyanobacteria bacterium 13_1_20CM_4_61_6 13_1_20cm_4_scaffold_162887, whole genome shotgun sequence.